CUGGCCGUAAACGAUGGGUACUAGGUGUAGGAGGUAUCGACCCCUUCUGUGCCGGAGUUAACGCAAUAAGUAUCCCGCCUGGGGAGUACGGCCGCAAGGCUGAAACUCAAAGGAAUUGACGGGGGCCCGCACAAGCGGUGGAGUAUGUGGUUUAAUUCGACGCAACGCGAAGAACCUUACCAAGCCUUGACAUUGAUUGAACGAGGCAGAGAUGCCUUUUUCCUCUUCGGAGGACAAGAAAACAGGUGG
rnacentral:rRNA from 1 species